CUACGGGGGGCACCAGUGAGGGAUAUUGGACAAUGGGGGAAACCCUGAUCCAGCAAUGCCGCGUGAAUGAAGAAGGCCUUAGGGUUGUAAAGUUCUUUCACUCGUGAAGAUUAUGACGGUAACGAGAGAAGAAGCCCCGGCUAACUCUGUGCCAGCAGCCGCGGUAAGACAGAGGGGGCUAGCGUUGUUCGGAAUAACUGGGCGUAAAGGGUGCGUAGGCGGUUGUUUAAGUAAAGUGUAAAAGCCCUGGGCUUAACCCAGGAAUCGCAUUUUAAACUGGACAGCUAGAGUGUGGUAGAGGAAAGUGGAAUUCCUAGUGUAGAGGUGAAAUUCGUAGAUAUUAGGAGGAACACCAGAGGCGAAGGCGGCUUUCUGGACCACUACUGACGCUGAGGCACGAAAGCGUGGGGAGCAAACAGGAUUAGAUACCCUGGUAGUC
rnacentral:rRNA from 1 species